rnacentral:rRNA from 1 species
UACGUAGGGUGCGAGCGUUGUCCGGAAUUAUUGGGCGUAAAGGGCUCGUAGGCGGUUUGUCGCGUCGGGAGUGAAAACCUCGGGCUUAACUCGGGGCUUGCUUUCGAUACGGGCAGACUGGAGGUAUGCAGGGGAGAACGGAAUUCCUGGUGUAGCGGUGGAAUGCGCAGAUAUCAGGAGGAACACCGAUGGCGAAGGCAGAUCUCUGGGCCGUAACUGACGCUGAGGAGCGAAAGCGUGGGUAGCGAACAGG